rnacentral:rRNA from 1 species
UACAGAGGGGGCAAGCGUUAUUCGGAAUUAUUGGGCGUAAAGGGCGCGUAGGCGGCCUGACAAGUGGAAGGUGAAAUCCCUCGGCUUAACCGAGGAACUGCCCUCCAAACUGUCUGGCUUGAGACCGGGAGAGGUGAGUGGAAUUCCCAGUGUAGCGGUGAAAUGCGUAGAUAUUGGGAGGAACACCAGUGGCGAAGGCGGCCAUCUGGACGGAUACUGACGCUGAGACGCGAAAGCGUGGGUAGCAAACAGG